AUUGAACGCUGGCGGCAGGCUUAACACAUGCAAGUCGAGCGGAGUAUUGGUGCUUGCACCAAUACUUAGCGGCGGACGGGUGAGUAAUGCUUAGGAAUCUGCCUAUUAGUGGGGGACAACAUCUCGAAAGGGAUGCUAAUACCGCAUACGCCCUACGGGGGAAAGCAGGGGAUCUUCGGACCUUGCGCUAAUAGAUGAGCCUAAGUCGGAUUAGCUAGUUGGUGGGGUAAAGGCCUACCAAGGCGACGAUCUGUAGCGGGUCUGAGAGGAUGAUCCGCCACACUGGGACUGAGACACGGCCCAGACUCCUACGGGAGGCAGCAGUGGGGAAUAUUGGACAAUGGGGGGAACCCUGAUCCAGCCAUGCCGCGUGUGUGAAGAAGGCCUUUUGGUUGUAAAGCACUUUAAGCGAGGAGGAGGCUACCCUAGUUAAUACCUAGAGAUAGUGGACGUUACUCGCAGAAUAAGCACCGGCUAACUCUGUGCCAGCAGCCGCCGCGGUAA
rnacentral:rRNA from 1 species